rnacentral:rRNA from 1 species
UAGGGAAUCUUCCACAAUGGACGCAAGUCUGAUGGAGCAACGCCGCGUGAGUGAAGAAGGUUUUCGGAUCGUAAAGCUCUGUUGUUGGUGAAGAAGGAUAGAGGCAGUAACUGGUCUUUAUUUGACGGUAAUCAACCAGAAAGUCACGGCUAACUACGUGCCAGCAGCCGCGGUAAUACGUAGGUGGCAAGCGUUGUCCGGAUUUAUUGGGCGUAAAGCGAGCGCAGGCGGAAUGAUAAGUCUGAUGUGAAAGCCCACGGCUCAACCGUGGAACUGCAUCGGAAACUGUCAUUCUUGAGUGCAGAAGAGGAGAGUGGAAUUCCAUGUGUAGCGGUGGAAUGCGUAGAUAUAUGGAAGAACACCAGUGGCGAAGGCGGCUCUCUGGUCGGCAACUGACGCUGAGGCUCGAAAGCAUGGGUAGCGAACAGG